UCGCACGGGGUAGCAAUACCCAGUGGCGAACGGGAGAGUAAUGAAUCGCUAACGUACCCCGGACUCUGAGAUAGCUGCCCGAAAGGGCAGGUAAUAUCAGAUGACAUAACCGCACGGCAUCGUGUGGUUCUCAAAGGUCCGCCGGUCUGGGAGCGGGCGAUUUCGUAUCAGCUAGUUGGUGAGGUAACGGCUCACCAAGGCGACGACGCGUAGCCGGACUGAGAGGUUGGCCGGCCUCAUUGGGACUGAGACACUGCCCAGACUCCUACGGGGGGCUGCAGUAACGAAUCUUCCGCAAUGCACGAAAGUGUGACGGAGCGACGCCGCGUGUGGGACGAAGCCCUUCGGGGUGUAAACCACUGUCAGGGGUUACCAAGUUCUGAGGAGCCCCAGAGGAAGGCACGGCUAACUCUGUGCCAGCAGCCGCGGUAAGACAGAGGUGCCAAGCGUUA
rnacentral:rRNA from 1 species